GAUGAACGCUAGCGGCAGGCCUAACACAUGCAAGUCGAGGGGCAUCAGUGGCGUAGCAAUACGCUGAUGGCGACCGGCCGCACGGGUGCGUAACGCGUAUGGAACCUACCCACCGCAGGGGGAUAACCCGCCGAAAGGCGGACUAAUACCCCAUGGUUCCCCGACCCUGCCUGGGGGUUGGGGGUAAAGCCUACGGGCGGCGGUGGAUGGCCCUGCGUGCCAUUAGCUGGCUGGUGGGGUAACGGCUCACCAUGGCAAUGAUGUCUAGGGGUUCUGAGAGGAAGGCCCCCCACACUGGGACUGAGACACGGCCCAGACUCCUACGGGAGGCAGCAGUGAGGAAUAUUGGACAAUGGAUGGAAAUCUGAUCCAGCCAUGCCGCGUGCAGGAAGACGGCCCUAUGGGUUGUAAACUGCUUUUAUAUGGGAGCAAUAAGGUUUACGAGUAGACCGAUGAGAGUACCAUAUGAAUAAGCAUCGGCUAACUCCGUG
rnacentral:rRNA from 1 species